rnacentral:rRNA from 1 species
GAUGAACGCUGGCGGCGUGCUUAACACAUGCAAGUCGAACGAAGCACCUUAUUCUGAUUUCUUCGGAAUGAAAAAUUUGGUGACUGAGUGGCGGACGGGUGAGUAACGCGUGGAUAACCUGCCUCAUACAGGGGGAUAACAGUUAGAAAUGACUGCUAAUACCGCAUAAGACCACAGCACCGCAUGGUGCAGGGGUAAAAACCCCGGUGGUAUGAGAUGGACCCGCGUCUGAUUAGGUAGUUGGUGGGGUAACGGCCUACCAAGCCGACGAUCAGUAGCGUACCUGGGAGGGUGACCGGCCACAUAGGGCCUGAGACACGGCCCAAAAUCCUAGGGGAGGCAGCAGUGGGGAAUAGUGCACAAUGGGGGAAACCCUGAUGCAGCGAGGCCGCGUGAGCGAUGAAGUAUUUCGGUAUGUAAAGCUCUAUCAGCAGGGAAGAAAAUGACGGUACCUGACUAAGAAGCACCGGCUAAAUACGUGCCAGCCGCCGCCGUAAUAC